rnacentral:rRNA from 1 species
AGAGUUUGAUCAUGGCUCANGACGAACGCUGGCGGCGCUGCCUAAUGCAUGCAAGUCGCACGCACCCCUCGGGGUGAGUGGCGCACGGCUGAGGAACACGUAGGAAUGUGCCCAUCGGUGGGGGAUAACAGGCCGAAAGGUCUGCUAAGCCCGCAUACGCUCGAAAGAGGAAAGGCGGCAACGUCGCCGAUGGAGCAGCCUGCGGCCCAUCAGGUCGUUGGUGGGGUAAUGGCCUACCAAGCCAAUGACGGGUAGCUGGUCUGAGAGGACAGACAGCCAGACUGGGACUGAGACACGGCCCAGACUCCUACGGGAGGCAGCAGCAAGGAAUUUUCGUCAAUGGGCGCAAGCCUGAACGAGCAACGCCGCGUGCAGGAUGACGGCUUUCGGGUUGUAAACUGCUUUUGGGGGGGACGAUAAUGACGGUACCCUCCGAAUAAGCCCCGGCUUACUCUGUGCCAGCAGCCGCGGUAAUACAGAGGGGGCCAGCGUUGUCCGGACUUACUGGGUGUAAAGCGCAUGCAGGUGGCCUGGCAAGUGUGCUGUGAAAGCCCCGUGCUUAACACGGGGAGGCCAGUACAGACUGUCAAGCUCGAGGACUGCAGAGGGUAGGGGAAUUGCCGGUGUAGUGCUGAAAUGCGUAGAGAUCGGCAGGAACACCAAGGCCGAAGGGACCUACCUGGGCAGUAACUGACACUCAAGUGCGACAGCGUGGGGAGCGAACCGGAUUAGAUACCCGGGUAGUCCACGCCGUAAACGAUGGAUGCUCGGCGUUUGGGGGAGAAAUCUCCUGGGCGCCUCAGCUGACGCGGAAGCAUCCCACCUGGGAACUACGAGCGCAAGCUUAAAACUCAAAGGAAUUGACGGGGGCCCGCACAAGCAGCGGAGCGUGUGGUUUAAUUCGAAGCAACACGCAGGACCUUACCCAGACUGGACAUGCCACUGCAAGCCGCUGAAAGGUGGUCGCCUUCGAGGGUGUGGCACAGAUGCUGCAUGGCUGUCGUCAGCUCGUGUCGUGAGAUUUUGGGUUCAGUCCCGCAACGAGCGCAACCCCCACGGUCAGUUACACGUGUCUGGCCGGACUGCCCUUCGGGGAGGAAGGCGGGGAUGACGUCAAGUCCGCAUGGCUCUUACGUCUGGGGCUACACACACACUACAAUGGCCGUCGCAGUGCGUUGCGACCCGGCAACGGGUAGCCAAUCGCCAAGGACGGUCUCAGUGCAGAUUGGGGGCUGCAACUCGCCCCCAUGAAGGCGGAGUUGCUAGUAACCGCGUAUCAGCGAUGGCGCGGUGAAUACGUACCCGGNCCUUGUACACACCGCCCGUCACGUCAUGGGAGUGGCCAAUGCCUGAAGUCCGUGGGCCAACCUUUCGGGGAGGCACGCGGCCGAGGGCAGGGGUCGCGAACUGGGACGAAGUCGUAACCAAGGUAACCGUA